ensembl:lncRNA
GUUCAUUUUUCAGAAGAUUAGUUGCAUCUUUGACGCAUCCCUCCUCACCCCUUGCGUCAGUGCAUAGAUGGAGCUUCGAACCGCUGCACAGAUAAAUCGCGGAAUUGCCCUUUAAAGAAAAAACUAUUGAUGUCAGCUGCACUGCAAUAAGCAGAAUUAAAUGAUGGGUUGUUUGCGAGUGCUUCUCUUGAUAGGAAAGGGGAUUCCUGGAUAUGGAAAAAGUUUGCAUGCUCUUCUGUUUGUGGAGCUUGCUUUCCUUAUUUUUUGCCGUCUGUUUGCAUUUGAUCACUUUCCCCUAAAUCCCAGACAUUGUUUAUUUCCAUCUACGUUUUACGCUCUGGGUCGAGUGUUAGGAAGCAUACGCGGACAUAUCAGGUGGUCGGAGAAGUGGGGUUGGCUUUGAGGGGGGUCCACUAAAUAGGGUCAAGAUUACAAAGCACUUACUGUACUAUAUAGGAGUUUGCUUCUUUCUUGUUUUUUGUUUGUUUGUUUUUUUUAUAUGAAGGAGCAUCUCCUCAUUUGAAGCUCUUGAAGUUGAGUAAAAACCGCACAGCUGUGUAUCCCCCCUUUCCCUCCAUGUCCAGUCCUCCUACAUCUUGUCCUGUCACAUUCUUUUGCAGUUUUUAUGCUGUCUUUGUUUAUCUGUUGACAAGUCUGAGGUCUCUUCUCAUUUUUCCGCUUGUUCUCCUUCCUCUACCCAUUUUUUUUUAUUUUUUUUGUUAGACCCAUCAAUGGAUAUGGUCAUCAAGAAGCUAUUUUUUUUUUUUUUUUUUUUUUUUAAAGAGAAACGUUUUGGGGAUAAAGAGGCUCGUGCCUUUGUAAAGACAGAAUAAUAAAGUUUGUACUUUGUUUUGUAAACACUGGGCUUUCUGUGUGUCUUUUCUGUUUCUCUGGUAACAGUUAUUCUAACACAAAUAGUGACAUAACCAGCUGAAUUUGAUUCAUUUCCAGUUCUGUUUGGCUGUUACUCAAGCAGUCGAGUUGAUGCACAAGUGUCUGUUCCUGAUUGGUGGAUGGGCUGUUCAAGCCUCCCUCCCUCCCCUGCUCAGUUGCUCAUGGCUAAAUUAAGACUGACCACCUUCUCUGUAACAGUUAAAAUUUACACCAGGGACGGUAGACUGCAUCUCCCGUUGUCAUCCUGUCUCUUGCCUCUUGUUCACACGCUCGCACAUCUUGUAGAGAUACUGCUGGUUUUGGUGUCUGGGGUCAGCUGUUCGUGUCAUAUCAGGAUGUUCU